rfam:Mus musculus chromosome 14, GRC primary reference assembly.
UGAUGUGAGGGUAAUCUGGCUGUGCCAGGGUUGAUUAGGCUGACCUGGCUGAUUAGGCAGGUGCCCUUCCUCCCUUACUGCUCCCUGUGCAUCCCUCCCAAAGCUGUGCGCCUGACUAAAGGAGGACCAUCUUCAGUCAAGGGUAUAGGAGUAGCUGCGCUCCCCUGCUAGAACCUGCAAAUAAGCUCGCAAAGAAUACAAAUUUCUUAAUGCUUUCUGUGGCUUUCUCCUACUAGUCCGGUAUCUUCUUCCUGUUUCU